GGGGGACUGCGGAGGGAUCAUUACCGAGUUUACAACUCCCAAACCCCUGUGAACAUACCAUUUGUUGCCUCGGCGGUGCCUGCUUCGGCAGCCCGCCAGAGGACCCAAACCCUUGAUUUUAUACAGUAUCUUCUGAGUAAAUGAUUAAAUAAAUCAAAACUUUCAACAACGGAUCUCUUGGUUCUGGCAUCGAUGAAGAACGCAGCGAAAUGCGAUAAGUAAUGUGAAUUGCAGAAUUCAGUGAAUCAUCGAAUCUUUGAACGCACAUUGCGCCCGCCAGUAUUCUGGCGGGCAUGCCUGUUCGAGCGUCAUUUCAACCCUCAAGCCCCCGGGCUUGGUGUUGGAGAUCGGCGUGCCCUCCGGGGCGCGCCGGCUCCCAAAUAUAGUGGCGGUCUCGCUGUAGCUUCCUCUGCGUAGUAGCACACCUCGCACUGGAAAACAGCGUGGCCACGCCGUUAAACCCCCCACUUCUGAAAGGUUGACCUCGGAUCAGGGAAGCAUACCCGCUGAACUUAAGCAUAUCAUAAGCC
rnacentral:rRNA from 1 species